AAAAUGUAACACUAAUGGUUAUAUCUCUAAUAUUCCCUAAACCUCCAUUGUACACAUUGUACAAAUAUUCCAUUAGCUCCUCGUACUUUUCCUUAAAUUAGAAUAGUUUGGCUUACUGACUUUUGGA